UCGAACGGUAACAGGCCUUCGGACGCUGACGAGUGGCGAACGGGUGAGUAAUGCGUAGGAAUAUACCUUAGAGUGGGGGAUAACUUGGGGAAACUCAAGCUAAUACCGCAUGAAGUCGAAAGACGAAAGCUGGGGACCUUUUGGCCUGGCGCUUUAAGAUUAGCCUACGUCCGAUUAGCUAGUUGGUGGGGUAAGGGCCUACCAAGGCGACGAUCGGUAGCUGGUCUGAGAGGAUGACCAGCCACACUGGAACUGAGACACGGUCCAGACUCCUACGGGAGGCAGCAGUGGGGAAUAUUGGACAAUGGGGGAAACCCUGAUCCAGCAAUGCCGCGUGUGUGAAGAAGGCCUGAGGGUUGUAAAGCACUUUCAGUGGGGAGGAGGUUCAUUAGGUUAAGAGCUAAAUGGAUGGACGUUACCUACAGAAGAAGCACCGGCUAACUCCGUGCCAGCAGCCGCGGUAAU
rnacentral:rRNA from 1 species